GUUGAUCAGCGAGUGGAGGCUGAGUUGCGGUGGAGGUGGAUUCAUGGCGGGUGGUUGGGGCGAGUUGCCCUAUCGCUCUAUCAGCAUUAGUGGCAAAGGGGCGGAGGUUGGAAGCAGUGUGGCGUCGCGGCAGCAUGGAGUAGCAGUACGCCACCCGUUGAGCCAAAAGGGGCGCCACGCCGCUGCGUGUCGUCGAACGAACAGGCUACCAGUGGGGACUACACUUAAAAAUAUACAUUGUGUAAAAGUAGACAUAUGUCGGAAACACACACAAAAAACUGAUGAAGAAACGCCAAAACACAACAAAGAAAAACCAAUGAAAUCCAUAAAAAAUCAGUGAAGAAGCAAAGAAAACCAUGAAAACCACAGAAAACAGGUGAAGAAAUGAACUAAAACAGAAAGAUGGAAAAUAGUAAUGAAACAAAGUAAAACACGAAAACCCAAAGAAAACGCAAAAUACCUUAGCCCUACCAAUUAAUAAGUGAAAUUUCUUGCUCGCCCACAUUGUACAUCACUAGUUUCGUGCUAUAGUAGCCCCACUUUAUGGGGAUAUACACUUUCUUUCCCCCAACCGCAGUGUGCCCCGUCUCCUCAAUGGCAUACAUAUGCAAGAUGGUUUCAAACGGAUACAUAACGACAAUACUUUGGUUCUCAACCGAUAUCAUUUCGCUCCAGUCGGUUGUCUCAGAUGGGUAAACGGAGGCAAACAUGGUCUUCUCUACCACGUUUGGAGCCGACGAAAGCCACGAGGAUGGGACCGCCAUGGUAGCCCAGGGGUCACAACAGUCCUUGGCGCAGAGGUUUGUGACCAUCCAGGUUAUCUCCUAUUCUGCAGAAAGUAUCUUCAAUAGCUUGGAGUAGGUGGAACUCACCCGCUGGUUUUCAUGAUGGGGUCCCAAACAAUGAAAUCUGUAUCCUUCCCAGGCGUGUAGAAGAGGACACGGGCAUGGCGGGAUUCGACCGCAUCCCAGUCUUCGUUCUCGCAAACGAGUGUGCAUAAGGCUUUGUUGGGAACGAAUUGAGCGACGUCAUUGCUUUCAUAGGAUUUGUUGUGGAGGUAGCCCAAGACCGUGGGCGUCCCAUGGAAUGCCCGAUAGUCGUGAAAAAAGGCAUGGUCAAAGAUAAUCUCGAUCAAGGUGGUGCAGACGGCAAAGGCGUGGACGAGGCUGUUGGGGAACGCGGUAAUUUCAAAAAAAUCCUACGCACACGCAAGAUCUAUCAUGGUGAUGCAUAGCAACGAGAGGGAAGAGUGUUGUCUACGUACCCUCGUAGACCGUAAGCGGAAGCGUUAUGAAAACGUGGUUUAUGUAGUCGUACAUCUUCACGAUCCGACCGAUCCUAGUACUGAAAGUACGGCGCCUCCGCGAUCGUGAAGACGUACUUUCGGUACUUGGAUCACGGAGGUGCCGUACUUUCGUUACUAGGAUCGGUGAUGUCCCACGAACUCUCGAUCCAGCUGAGAGUCGAGGGAGAACUUCGUCAGCACGACGACGUUAUGAUGGUGAUGAUGAAGCUACCGGCGCAGGGCUUUGCCUAAGCACGAUGACGAUAUGACCGAGGUGGAUUAUGGUGGAGGGGGGCACCGCACACGGCUAAGACAAUGAUCAACUUUUGUGUCUAUGGGGUGCCCCCCUCCCCGUAUAUAAAGGAGUGGAGGAGGGGGGAGGGACGACCCUCUAUGGAGCGCCCUAGGGGAGUCCUACUCCCACCGGGAGUAGGAUUCCCCCCUUCCAAGUAGUAGGAGUAGGAGAGAAGGAAGGGGAGGAGAGAGGGAAGGAAAGGGGGGCCCACCCAAUUCGGAUUGGGCUAGGGGGCGCGCCUCCCACCUUUUCCCUUCCUCUCCUCUAUUCCAAUAAGGCCCAAUAAGGCCCAUAUACUCCCCGGGGGGUUCCGGUAACCUCCCGAUACUCUGGAAAAUGCCCGAACUCAUCUGGAACCAUUCCGAUGUCCAAACAUAGGCUUCCAAUAUAUCGAUCUUUACGUCUCGACCAUUUCAAGACUCCUCGUCGUUUUCGUGAUCAUAUCCGGGACUCCGAACUACCUUCGGUACAUCAAAACACAUAAACUCAUAACACCGAUCGUCACCGAACGUUAAGCGUGCGGACCCUACGGGUUCGAGAACUAUGUAGACAUGACCGAGACUCAUCUCCGGUCAAUAACCAAUAGCGGAACCAGGAUGCUCAUAUUGGUUCCUACAUAUUCUACGAAGAUCUUUAUCAGUCAAACCGCACAACAACAUACGUUGUUCCCUUUGUCAUCGGUAUGUUACUUGCCCGAGAUUCGAUCGUCGGUAUCUCAAUACCUAGUUCAAUCUCGUUACCGGCAAGUCUCUUUACUCGUUCCAUAAUGCAUCAUACGCAAAUAACUCAUUAUUCACAUUGCUUGCAAGGCUUAUAGUGAUGUGCAUUACCGAGAGGGCCUAGAGAUACCUCUUCGAUACUCGGAGUGACAAAUCCUAAUCUCGAUCUAUGCCAACUCAACAAACACCAUCGGAGACACCUGUAGAGCAUCUUUACAGUCACCUAGUUACGUUGUGGCGUUUGAUAGCACACUAAGUUUUCCUUCGGUAUUCAAGAGUUGCAUGACUCAUAGUCAUAGGAAGAACAUGUAUAAGUUAUGGAGAAAGCAAUAGCAACAAACUAAACGAUCAUCAUGCUAAGCUAACGGAUGGGUCAAGUCAAUCACAUCAUUAUCUAAUGAUGCGAUCCCGUUAAUCAAAUGACAACUCAUGUCUAUGGUCAGGAAACAUAACCAUCAUUGAUUCAACGAGCUAGUCAAGUAGAGGCAUACUAGUGACACUCUGUCUGUCUAUGUAUUCACACAUGCACUAAGUUUCCGGUUAAUACAAUUCUAGCAUGAAUAAUAAACAUUUAUCAUGAUAUAAGGAAAUAUAAAUAACAACUUUAUUAUUGCCUCUAGGGCAUAUUUCCUUCAGUCUCCCACUUGCACUAGAGUCAAUAAUCUAGAUUACAUUGUAAUGAUUCUAACACCCAUGGAGUCUUGGUGCUGAUCAUGUCUUGCUCGUAAGAGAGGCUUAGUCAAUGGGUCUGCAACAUUCAGAUUCGUAUGUAUCUUGAAAAUCUCCAUGUCUCCCUCAUUGACUUGAUCGCGAAUGGAAUUGAAGCAUCUCUUGAUGUGCUUGGUUCUCUUGUGAAAUCUGGAUCCCUUUGCCAAGGCAAUUGCACUAGUGUUGUCACAAAAUAUUUUCAUUUGACCCGAUGCACUAGAUAAUACACCUAGAUCGGAUAUGAACUCCUUCUUCCAGACUCCUUCAUUUGCUGCUUCCGAAGCAGCUAUGUACUCCGCUUCACACGUAGAUCCCGCCACGACGCUCUGCUUGGAAUUGCACCAACUGACAGCUCCACCAUUUAAUAAAAAUUCGUAUCCGGUUUGUGACUUAGAGUCAUCCGGAUCAGUGUCAAAGCUUGCAUCGACAUAACCGUUGAUGACGAGCUCUUUGUCACCUCCAUAAACGAGAAACAUAUCCUUAGUCCUUUUCAGGUAUUUCAGGACGUUCUUGACUGUACCGUUGUCCAGUGAUCCACUCCUGGAUUACUUUGGUACCUCCCUGCUAAACUAAUAGCAAGGCACACAUUAGGUCUGGUACACAACAUUGCAUACAUGAUAGAACCUAUGGCUGAAGCAUAUGGAAUGACUUUCAUUUUCUCUCUAUCUUCUGCAGUGGUCGGGCAUUGAGUCUGACUCUAACUUCACACCUUGUAACACAGGCAAGAACCCUUUCUUUGCUUGAUCCAUUUUGAACUUCUUCAAAACUUUAUCAAGGUAUGUGCUUUGUGAAAGUCCAAUUAAGCGUCUUGAUCUAUCUCUAUAGAUCUUGAUGCCCAAUAUAUAAGCAACUUCAUCGAGGUCUUUCAUUGAAAAAUUCUUAUUCAAGUAUCCUUUUAUGCUAUUCAGAAAUUCAGUAUCAUUUCCGAUCAACAAUAUGUCAUCUACAUAUAAUAUCAGAAAUGCUACAGAGCUCCCACUCACUUUCUUGUAAAUACAAGCUUCUCCAAAAGUCUGUAUAAAACCAUAUGCUUUAAUCACACUAUCAAAGCGUAUAUUCCAACUCCGAGAGGCUUGCACCAGUCCAUAAAUGGAUAGUUGGAGCUUGCACACUUUGUUAGCACCUUUUGGAUCGACAAAACCUUCUGGUUGCAUCAUGUACAACUCUUCUUUAAGAUAUCCAUUAAGGAAUGCAGUUUUGACAUCCAUUUGCCAAAUUUCAUAAUCAUAAAAUGCGGCAAUUGCUAACAUGAUCUGGACGGACUUAAGCAUCGCUACGGGUGAGAAGGUCUCAUCGUAGUCAACUCCUUGAACUAGUCGAAAACCUUUUGCAACAAGUCGAGCUUUGUAGACAGUAACAUUACCGUCAACGUCGGUCUUCUUCUUGAAGAUCCCUUUAUUCCCUAUGGCCUGCCGAUCAUCGGGAAAGUCAACCAAAGUCCAUACUUUGUUCUCAUACAUGGAUCCCAUCUCAGAUUUCAUGGCCUCAAGCCAUUUUGCGGAAUCUGGGCUCAUCAUCGCUUCCUCAUAGUUCGUAGGUUCGUCAUGGUCAAGUAACAUGACCUCCAGAAUAGGAUUACCAUACCAUUCUGGUGCGAAUCUUACUCUGGUUGACCUACGAGGUUCGGUAGUAACUUGAUCAGAAGCUUCAUAAUCAUCAUCAUUAGCUUCCUCACUUACUGGUGUAGGAAUCACUGGAACUGAUUUCAGUGAUGAACUACUUUCCAAUAAGGGAGAAGGUACAAUUACCUCAUCAAGUUCUACUUUCCUCCCACUCACUUCUUUCGAGAGAAACUCCUUCUCUAGAAAGGAUCAAUUCUUAGCAAUGAAUAUCUUGCCUUCGGAUCUGUGAUAGAAGGUGUACCCAACAGUCUCUUUUGGUAUACUAUGAAGACACAUUUCUCCAAUUUGGGUUCGAGCUUAUCAGGUUGAAGCUUUUUCACAUAAGCAUCGCAGCCUCAAACUUUAAGAAAUGACAACUUGGGUUUCUUGCCAAACCAUAGUUCAUAAGGUGUCGUCUCAACGGAUUUAGAUGGUGCCCUAUUUAACGUGAAUGCAGUCGUCUCUAAAGCAUAACCCCAAAACGAUAGUGGUAAAUCAGUAAGAGACAACAUAGAUUGCACCAUAUCUAGUAAAGUACGAUUACGACGUUCGGACACACCAUUACGCUAUGGUGAUCCGGGUGGCGUGAGUUGCGAAACUAUUCCGCAUUGUUUCAAAUGAAGACCAAACUCGUAACUCAAAUAUUCUCCUCCACGAUCAGAUCGUAGAAACUUUAUUUUCUUGUUACGAUGAUUUUGCACUUCACUCUGAAAUUCUUUGAACUUCUCAAAUGUUUCAGACUUAUGUUUCAUUAAGUAGAUAUACCCAUAUCUGCUCAAAUCAUCUGUGAAGGUGAGAAAAUAACGAUAUACGCCGCGAGCCUCAAUGUUCAUUGGACCACAUACAUCAGUAUGUAUGAUUUCCAAUAACUCUUUUGCUCGCUCCAUUGUUCCGGAGAACGGAUUUUUAGUCAUCUUGCCCAUGAGGCAUGGUUCGCAAGUACCAAGUGAUUCAUAAUCAAGCGAUUCCAGAAGUCCAUCAGAAUGUAGUUUCUUCAUGCGCUUUACACCAAUAUGACCCAAAUGGCAAUGCCACAAAUAAGUUGCACUAUCAUUAUCAACUUUGCUUCUUUUGGCUUCAAUACUAUGAAGUGUAUCACUACUAUCAAGAUUUAGUAAAAAUAGACCACUCAUAAAAGGUGCAUGACCAUAAAAGAUAUUACUCAUAUAAAUAGAACAACCAUUAUUCUCUGAUUUAAAUGAAUAACCGUCUCACAUCAAACAAGAUCCAGAUAUAAUGUUCAUGCUCAAAGCUGGCACCAAAUAACAAUUAUUUAGGUCUAAAACUAAUCCCGAAGUUAGAUGUAGAGGUAGCAUGCCAACGGUGAUCACAUCGACUUUGGAACCAUUUCCCGCGCGCAUCGUCACCUCAUCCUUAGCCAAUCUUCGCUUAAUCCGUAGCCCCUGUUUUGAGUUGCAAAUAUUAGCAACGGAACCAGUAUCAAAUACCCAGGCACUACUGCAAGCAUUAGUAAGGUACACAUCAAUAACAUGUAUAUCAAAUAUACCUUUCACUUUGCCAUCCUUCUUCUCCGCUAAAUACUUGGGGCAAUUCCGCUUUCAGUGACCAGUCCCUUUGCAGUAGAAGCACUCAGUUUCAGGCCUAGGUCCAGACUUGGGUUUCUUCACUUGAGCAGCAAAUGGUUUGCUGUUCUUCUUGAAGUUCCCCUUCUUCCCUUUACCCUUUUUUCUUGAAACUAGUGGUCUUGUUGACCAUCAACACUUGAUGCUCUUUCUUGAUUUCUACCUCCGCAGCCUUUAGCAUUGCGAAGAGCUCGAGAAUAGUCUUAUCCAUCCCUUGCAUAUUACAGUUCAUCACGAAGCUCUUGUAGCUUGGUGGCGGUGAUUGAAGAACUCUGUCAAUGACACUAUCAUCAGGAAGAUUAACUCCCAGCUGAGUCAAGUGGUUGUGGUACCCAGACAGUCUGAGUAUAUGUUCAUUGACAGAACUAUUCUCCUCCAUUUUGCAGCUGUAGAACUUAUUGGAGACUUCAUAUCUCUCAAUCCGGGCAUUUGCUUGAAAUAUUAACUUCAACUCCUGGAACAUCUCAUAUGCUCCAUGACGUUCAAAACAUCGUUGAAGUCCCGGUUCUAAGCCGUAAAGCAUGGCACACUGAACUAUCGAGUAGUCAUCAGCUUUGCUCUGCCAGGUGUUCACAAAAUCUGGCAUUGCUCCUGCAGCGGGUUUGUCACCUAGCGGUGCUUCUAGGACGUAAUUCUUUUGUGCAACAAUGAGGAUAAUCCUCAAUUUACGGACCCAGUCUGUGUAGUUGCUACCAUCAUGUUUCAACUUAGCUUUCUCUAGGAACACAUUAAAAUUCAACGGAACAACAACACGGGCCAUCUAUCUACAACAACAUAGACAUGCAAAAUACUAUCAGGUACUAAGUUCAUGAUAUAUUAAAGUUCAAUUAAUCAAAUUACUUAAGAACUCCCACUUAGAUAGACAUCUCUCUAAUCAUCUAAGUGAUCACGUGAUCCAUAUCAACUAAACCAUGUCCGAUCAUCACGUGAGAUGGAGUAGUUUUCAAUGGUGAACAUCACUAUGUUGGUCAUAUCUACUAUAUGAUUCACGCUCGACCUUUCGGUCUCAGUGUUCCGAGGCCAUAUCUGCAUAUGCUAGGCUCGUCAAGUUUAACCCGAGUAUUCUACGUGUGCAAAACUGGCUCGCACCCAUUGUAUGUGAACGCAGAGCUUAUCACACCCGAUCAUCACGUGGUGUCUCGGCACGAUGAAUUGUAGCAACGGUGCAUACUCAGGGAGAACAUUUGUACCUUGAAAUUUAGUGAGAGAUCAUCUUAUAAUGCUACCACCGAACUAAGCAAAAUAAGAUGCAUAAAGGAUAAACAUCACAUGCAAUCAAUAUAAGUGAUAUGAUAUGGUCAUCAUCAUCUUGUGCCUUUGAUCUCCAUCUCCAAAGCACCGUCAUGAUCACCAUCGUCACCAGCUUGACACCUUGAUCUCCAUCGAAGCAUCGUUGUCGUCUCGCUAACUAUUGUUGCUACGACUAUCGCUACCGCUUAGUGAUAAAGUGAAGCAAUUACAUGGCAGUUGCAUUUCAUACAAUAAAGCGACAACCAUAUGGCUCCUGCCAGUUGCCGAUAACUCUGUUACAAAAAAUAUGAAUUUAGCAUCAUGCCUUGACCAUAUCACAUCACAACAUGCCCUGCAAAAACAAUUUAGAUGCCCUCUACUUUGUUGUUGCAAGUUUUACGUGGCUGCUACAGGCUGAGCAAGAGCCAUUCUUACCUACGCAUCAAAAGCCACAACGCGGUAUAGUGAUUGCUUUUGAUCUUCAGAAAGAACCAUGUUCAUUGAAUCCAAUUCAACUAAAGUUGGAGAAACUGACACCAACUAGCCACCUGUGUGCGAAGCACGUCGGUAGAACCAAUCUCGCGUAAGCAUACGCGUAAUGUCGGUAUGGGCCGCUUCAUCCAACAAUACCGCUGAAUCAAGAAUCAACUAGUGACGGCAAGCAAUAUGUAUAUACCCACGCCCACAACUCCUUUGUGUUCUAUUCGUGCAUAUAACAUCUACGCAUAGACCUGGCUCUGAUGCCACUAUUGGGGAACGCGGUAAUUUAAAAAAAAAUCCUACGCACACGCAAGAUCUAUCAUGGUGAUGCAUAGCAACGAUCGGGAAGAGUGUUGUCCACGUACCCUCAUAGAACGUAAGAAGAAGCAUUAUGACAACGCUGUUGAUGUAGUCGUACGUCUUCACAAUCCGACCGAUCCUAGUAACGAAAGUACGACACCUCCGUGAUCUACACACGUUCAACUCGGUGACGUCCCACGAACUCUUGAUCCAGCUGAGUGGUGAGGGAGAGCUUCAUCAGCACGACGGUGUGAUGACGGUGAUGAUGAAGCUACCGGCGCAGGGCUUAGCCUAAGCACUACGACGAUAUGACCGAGGUGGAUUAUGAUGGAGGGGGGCACUGCACACGGCUAAGACAAUGAUCAACUUCUAUGUCUAUUGGGUGCCCCCUCCCCGUGUAUAAAGGAGUGGAGGAGGGGGAGGGCCGACCCUCUAUGGCGCGCCCUAGGGGAGUCCUACUCCCAUCGGGAGUAGGAUUCCCCCCUUCCAAGUAGUAGGAAUAGGAGAGAAGGAAGGGGAGGAGAGAGGGAAGGAAAGGGGGGUGGCCCCACCCAAUUCGGAUUGGGCUAGGGGGCGCCUCCCACCUUUUCCCUUCCUCUCCUCUAUUCCACUAAGGCCCAAUAAGGCCCAUAUACUCCCCGGGGGGGUUCCAGUAACCUCCUGGUACUCCGGAAAAUGCCCGAACUCAUCCGGAACCAUUCCGAUGUCCAAAUAUAGGCUUCCAAUAUAUCGAUCUUUACAUCUCGACCAUUUCGAGAUUCCUCGUCAUGUCCGUGAUCAUAUCCGGGACUCCGAACUACCUUCGGUACAUCAAAACACAUAAACUUAUAAUAUCGAUCGUCGCCAAAUGUUAAGCGUGCGGACCCUACGGGUUCGAGAACUAUGUAGACAUGACCGAGACUCAUCUCCGGUCAAUAACCAAUAGCGGAACCUGGAUGUUCAUAUUGGUUCCUACAUAUUCUACAAAGAUCUUUAUCGUUCAAACUGCACAACAACAUACGUUGUUCCCUUUGUCAUCAGUAUGUUACCUGCCCGAGAUUCGAUCGUCGCUAUCUCAAUACCUAGGUCAAUCUCGUUACCGGCAAGUCCCUUUACUCGUUCCAUAAUGCAUCAUCCCGCAACUAACUCAUUAAUCACAUUUCUUGCAAGGCUUAUAGUGAUGUGCAUUACCGAGAGGGCCCAGAGAUACCUCUCCGAUACUCGGAGUGACAAAUCCUAAUCUCGAUCUAUGCCAACUCAACAAACACCAUCGGAGACACCUGUAGAGCAUCUUUAUAGUCACCCAGUUACGUUGUGACGUUUGAUAGCACACUAAGUGUUCCUCCUGUAUUCGGGAGUUGCAUGAUCUCAUAGUCAUAGGAACAUGUAUAAGUUAUGGAGAAAGCAAUAGCAACAAACUAAAGGAUCAUCAUGCUAAGCUAACAGAUGGGUCAAGUCAAUCACAUCAUUCUCUAAUGAUGUGAUCCCGUUAAUCAAAUGACAACCCAUGUCUAUGGUCAGGAAACAUAACCAUCAUUGAUUCAACGAGCUAAUCAAGUAGAUGCAUACUAGUGACACUUUGUUUGUCUAUGUAUUCACACAUGUAAUAAGUUUCUGGUUAAUACAAUUCUAGCAUGAAUAAUAAACAUUUAUCAUGAUAUAAGGAAAUAUAAAUAACAACUUUAUUAUUGCCUCUAGGGCAUAUUUCGUUCACAGGCUUGUCGGAUUAUCCGAUGGGAUGCGGAACAAAAUCUCGCGGAUAAUGUCAUCGAUCAACGAGUGGAGGCCGAGUUGCUAUGGAGGCUGAUCCGUUGUGGGUGGUUGGAGACGAGUCAUCCUAUGGCUCUACCAGCAUUAGAGGCGGAGGAGGCUGGAACUGGAAGUAGUGCGGCACCGCGGCAACAUGGGCGAGUCAUGCGCCGGCCAUUGAGCCAAAAGGGGCGCCGACACCGCUACAUGCCGUCGAACAAACAAGAUGCGAGUGUGGACUUCACAUAAAAAUGUACAUUGUGUAGAAGUAGACAUGUGUAGAAAAACACACAAAGAUAUCGGUGAAGAAACGCCAACAAACAACAAAUAAAAACUGAAGAGAACCAUAAAAAAAUCAGUGAAGAAUCAAAGAAAACCAUGAAGACCACGGAAAACCGGUGAACAAGUGAACUAUAACAUAAAGACGAAACCGGUAAACAAAUGAAGUAAAACAAGAAAUGCCAAAGAAAGGCAUAAAAUUGUAAUCCGGCAAAUUAACAAGUGAAAGUUCUUGCUCGCCCACAUUGUACAUCACUAUUUUCAUGCUUCAGUAGCCACGCUUGACGAGAAAGAGACUUCAUUUCCUGCAAUCGCAGUGUGCCCAGUCUACUCAAUAGUGCACGGAUGCAAAAUGGUGCCAAAUGAAUAAGUAAUGACGACAUUUGGGUUUUCAACUAAGAUCAUUUCGCUCCACUCGGUAGUCACGAAUGAGUAAACAGAGGCGAAGAUGGUCUUUUCUACCACGUUGAAGCCGACAAAAGCCACAAGGAAGGGGUCAUCAUGGCAGCCCAGGUGGUAGCAGUAGUACUUGGCGCAGAGUACCAUGACCAUCCAGGUUAUUUCUUUUCCAGCACAGAGUGUCUUCAAUAGCUUUGAUUCGGUGGAAAUAACCCAUUGGUUGUCGGUAAUGGGGUUCUAAACGAUGAAAUAUGUAUCCUACUCCCUGGGCGUAUAUAAGAGGACGCGACCAUGGCGGGAGUUGACCGCAUCCUAAUCUCGGUGCUCGCAAACAAGUGGGUGGUAGGUUCCGGUGAGAAGGAAUUGAGCGACGUUGUGGCUCUCAUAGGAUUUGUUGUGGAGAUAGCACAAGAUCGGGGGCGUCCCGUGGAAGGCUCGGUAGUCACGGAAAAAAGCGGGGUCGGAUAUGAUCUCAAGGAAGGUGGUGCAGACGACGGAGGUGUGUACGGGGCUCGUUGGGUCAUCUGACGAGAUGCGGAACAAAAUCUCAUGGAUAACAUCAUCGAUCAGCGGGUGGAGGCUGAGUUGCGGUGGAGGGGGGGUUCAUUGCGGGUUGUUGGGGGCGAUUCGCCCUAUCGCUCUAUCAGCAUAAGCGGCUGAGGCUGGAAGCAGUGUGGCACCACGGCAGCAUGGGGGAAGUCGUGCACCAUCUAUCGAGCCGAAAGGGGAGCCACCGCCGCCGCGUGCCGUCAAACGAACAGGCAACCAAAGGGGAUCACACUUAAAAUUGUGUAAAAAUAGACAUGUGUGGGAAACACACACAAAGAAACUGGUCAAGAAAGCCGACAACCAACAAAGAAAAACCAAAGGAAACCAUGAAAAAUAAGCAAAGAAAAUCAUGAAAACCAUGGAAAAUCGGUAAAGAAAUGAACUAAAAUAGAAAGUUGAAAACCAGUAAUGAAACAAAGUAAAAAAAAGGAAAAACCAAAGAAAACACACAAAACCAUGGUCCUACAAAUGAACUAGUGAAAGCCCACAUUAUACAUCACUAUUUUCAUGCCGCGGUAGCCCUACUUGAUCAGGAAAUAGACUUCCUUUCCCCAACCAUGGUGUGCCCCCAUCUCCUCAAUGACAUACAGAUGCAAGAUGGUGCCAAACGAAUAUGUAACAACGACACUCUGAUUCUCAACCGAGAUCAUUUCGCCCCACUCGGUAGUCUCAGAUGAGUAAACGGAGGUGAACAUGGUCUUUUGUACCACGCUGGAGCCAAACAAAGCCAUGAGGAAGGGACCGUUAACCCAUGUGAUCGCAAUAGUCCGUGGCGCAGAGGUCCGCGACCAUCCAGGUUAUCUCCUCACAAGCACAAAGAAUCUUCAAUAGCUUGGAGUCAGUCGAAAUCACCUGCCAGUGGUCAGUGAUGGGGUCCAAACGAUGAAACCCGUAUCCUUCUCCCCAAGCCUAUAGAAGAGAGUGCGUACAUGGCGGGAGUCGACCACAUCUGAGUCUCGGUGCUCGCAAACGAGUGGGCAGAAGGCUAUAAGUGCAACUAUCCCUAGGUGGUUUUGGUAAUUCAUAACAACAUAUAGCUCAUUGAGCUAGUACUAUUCCAAGAUUAAUAUUUCAGGAAAAGCUCAAUGAAUGGCAUGGCAUGGAUGAGGAAAGUGGACCCCUCAAAAUACUAAGGACAAAAAGAUUGGCUCAAGCUCAAAGCUCAAGACUCUACAUUUUAUAUUUUAGUGAUCCAAGAUCACAUUGAGUCUAUAGGAAAAGCCAAUACUAUCAAGGAGGGAUGAGGUGUUGCUUGAUGAGGUUCUUGCUUCAUAGUGCUUAGUGAUAUGCUCCAAAACCCUCAACUACCUUCCCACAUCCACAUAUGACCUAAACCAAAAGUCAAACUCGGCCCCACCGAUUCUUUCUAUCUGGCGCCACCGAGUUCAGAUGUCAUAGCCACUGCCACAAACCCUAGGAAAAUCGGUCUCACCGAUAGGGAUCUCGGUCACACCGAGAUGGGGUUGUAAUCUCUAUGUUUCCCUUCGUAACGUUUCGGUCCUACCGAGAUGAGCGAUCGGUCCCACCGAGAUUGCAAUGUAAACUCUCUGUUUUCCUUUUGUAACAUUUCGGUCCCACCGAAAUGAGCAAUCGGUCCCACCGAGUUUACCUGACCAACUCUUUGGUUAGCUUAUUACCAAAAUCGGUCCCACCGAGUUUAUGUAAUCGGUCACACCGAGAUUACAUUAUGCCCUAACGCUAACCAUAUCGGUCCUACCGAGUUGCAUCUCAGUCCCACCGAAAAUCCUAACGGUCACUAGGUUUGCUAAAUCGGUCCGACCGAGUUUCUCAAUUCGGUCUCACCGAGAUUGGUAAAUUGUGUGUAACGGUUAGUUUUUGUGUGGAGGCUAUAUAUACCCCUCCACCCAGUCUUCAUUCAUGGAGAGAGCCAUCAGAACGUACAUGCACUUCCAAUACACAUUUUCUAAGAGAGAACCACCUACUCAUGUGUUGAGGCCAAGAUAUUCCAUUCCCACCAUAUGAAUCUUGAUCUCUAGCCUUCCCCAAGUUGCUUUCUACUCAAAUCUUCUUUCCACCAAAUCCAUAUCCUGUGAGAGAGAGUUGAGUGUUGGGGAGACUAUCAUUUGAAGCACAAGAGCAAGGAGUUCAUCAUCAACACCAUUUGUUACUUCUUGGAGAGUGGUGUCACCUAGAUUGGCUAUGUGUCACUUGGGAGCCUCCGACAAAGAUUGUGGAGUUGAACCAAGGAGUUUGUAAGGGCAAGGAGAUCGCCUACUUCGUGAAGAUCUACCGCUAGUGAGGCAAGUCCUUCGUGGGCGAUGGCCAUGAUGGGAUAGACAAGGUUGCUUCUUCGUGGACCCUUCAUGGGUGGAGCCCUCCGUGGACUCGCGCAACUGUUACCCUUCGUGGGUUGAAGUCUCCAUCAACGUGGAUGUACGAUAGCACCACCUAUCGGAACCACAACAAAAACAUCCGUGUCUCAAAUUGCGUUUGAAUUCUCCAAACCCUUCCCUUUACAUUCUUGCAAGUUGCAUGCUUUACUUUCCGCUGCUCAUAGACUCUUUGCAUGCUUGCUUGAAUUGUGUUAAGAUUGCUUGACUUGUGCUAAGAUAGCUAAAAUCUGCCAAAGACUAAAAUUGGGAAACAGAUAGAUUUUUUAUUUGGUCAAGUAGUCUAAUCACCCCCACUCUAGACAUACUUUCUAUCCUACGGGUGGUAUCAGAGGUUUGGUCUCCAUUUGCUUUGAUUUCCAUAGCUUUUGGUGGUCAUAGCCUUGGUUUCACAACCUAGGAGAGUAUGGCGUCUAGCGAGGGAAAUUACCACCGUAGAGGUCCUUACUUUGAUGGUACUAAUUUUGCUAGUUGGACGCAUAAGAUGAAAAUGCAUAUUCUUGGACAUAACCCCGCUGUUUGGGUUAUUCUAUGUGUUGUCUUGCAAGGUGAAUUCUUUGAUGGGAGAGAACCGAAUCUGAAGCUACCGCAGAAGAGUUGAAGAUGCUACAAUACAAUGCUCAAGCUUGUGAUAUCCUCUUCAACGGAUUGUGCCCCGAAGAAUUCAACAAAAUCAGCCGUCUUGAGAAUGCAAAGGAAAUUUGGGAUACUUUGAUUGAUAUGCACGAAGGUACCGACUCCGUCAAGGAAUCCAAGUUGGAUGUGCUUCAAAGUCAACUUGACAAGUUCAAAAGUAAGGAUGGUGAAGGUGUCGCUGAAAUGUACUCUAGGCUUGCUCUUAUCACAAAUGAGAUUGCCGGCUUAGGAAGUGAAGAGAUGACUGACAAAUUCAUUAUUAAGAAGAUCCUAAGAGCCUUGGAUGGAAAAUACGAUACCGUAUGCACAUUGAUCCAAAUGAUGCCAAAUUACAAAGAUCUCAAGCCAACGGAAGUCAUUGGAAGAAUUGUUGCUCAUGAGAUGUCACUCAAGGAUAAGGAGGAGCUCCAUAACAAGUCAAGUGGUGCUUACAAAGCCUCAUGUGAAGCCCCCACAUCAUCAAGUGAGAAACAAACCUUCAAUGAAGAAUUGAGCUUAAUGGUGAAGAACUUCAACAAGUUCUACAAGAAUAGAAGCAAAGAGAGAAGUUCCAAGUCAAGGUCCUACAAUGACAAAAGAUCUUCUAGUCGAGAGCGAAACUGCUACAAUUGUGGAAGACCCAGACACUACUCCAAUGAGUGUACGGCUCCCCACAAGAGAAGAGAAGAUUCUCCCAAAAGAAGAAGUAGAAGACAAGAAUCACCAUCAAGGGAGAGAAGGAGUAGGGAUGAUCGAUAUGAACGAAGACCCUCUCGAAGAAGCAAGGAUUCGGAAAGGAAGGACAAGUCAUCAAGGAGCUACACAAAACGAAGACAUCAAGCUCAUGUUGGUGAAUGGGUAUCCGGCUCCGACUCCGACAAUGACUCCGAGAGAAGCUAUCACUCCGACUCCGAAUAUACUCAAGAUGAAGGUGUUGCCAGUCUAGCACUUGUGUCAACCAACUCCUCUGACAUAUUUGAUUCACCAAAUGAAAGAAUUGGAAGAUGCUUCAUGGCCAGGUAUCACACCCCGAGUAUGUUGAUUUCAAUAGUGAUGAAGAUGACUUGUUAGGUGAUGAUGAUUUACUUGUUGACAACUAUAGUGAUGAAUACUAUGAUGAAACAAAUGACAAUGAUAAGCAGAAGAUUGAGUCUCUAACUAAAGAACUAAACACUCUUAAGUUAGCUCAUGAAACUAUCUUAGGAGAUCAUCGAGAACUUUUAAGGACUCAUGAGAAAUUACGUUUUGAAAAGCUCAACCUUGAGCAAGAGCAUGAGUUCUUAAAGGAAAUCAAUGAUGAUCUUCGCAAGAAAAGUUCUUCUUACAUUGCCAAGCGUUUACUCUUAUCCACUUACAUGCCUCAAGUCAAGUCUAGUAACAAGAACAAGAAGGAUUCUUCUUCUAGUAGUAACAACAAUCAUGCUAAAUCCAAUAUUGUUGCUUCUAGUAGUUCUCUUGAUUCCACUAAUGAUUCUCUUAGCCAAGUUACACUUGAGCAAGAAAAUAGCUUAUUGAAGGGAAUUAUAGAGAAAGGUUUUUACAAGAGCCUUGCCGGGAGUAAGCAAUUCGAGGAAAUUGUACGCAAGCAAGGAAGGCACCGGAAGAAUCAAGGUAUUGGUUUUGAAUGAAAGUUCAAUGCAAAUGGAGUUGAGUGGGAAGAAGAUCAAUACCCCAAGACGAAGUUUGUUCCUCAACAAGAGAAGUAUGAUCCUAAUUCUUUCAAAGGGACACAAGCUCAAGAUGAUCUUCCACCACAAGACCACAAGCAAAAAGGCAAGGACAAGCUUCAAGAGGAAAUUGAUGCAUUUAAAGAAGCUCCUAAGGCCUUGGUCAAGUGGGUUCCCAAGACUACAUCAAGUUCCACUUCAUCAAGUACAACUACAACUCCGAGGAUUCCCAUCAAGAUGGUGUGGAUCCCGAAGAAGAACUAGAGAGUUCUUGAGGGUGACUCCGCCAACAUACUUCACUCUUAUCAUUUUGGCAAGAACAAGUGCAAUCAACUUCCACAUCUUGCACUAGUUCAAGGAGUCACAAACCCUCUUGUUGGUAAGACAAGGGACAAGGUAACCUAAAGCUUUCAUAGACAUCAUCUUGUGUGUGCAUCACUCUAUGUCUAUGGAUAUCCUUGUUUGUUCCUUGUGGGACUAACCCGUGUAGGUAUUGAAAGUGCAACUCACUCCAAAGGAUAGCUCCAAAUGAUCUACAUCAACAUAGAGCAUCCAUAUCUUCAACAUCUACAUGAAGUCAUCAUCGACAAAACCCAAGGUUACUUCAUCCCUCUUAGGGGGGAUCUCACAUCUAGGGGGAGCUUUACUCUAACAAUUGAGUUAAAACAACUCUAACGGUGUGAACACAACAACGCUUUAUGUAAAAGUGGUAACCCCACUUGUGCUUAAACGAUGAGUAUGACCUAUGAUCAAAUGGUCUCAUUUGACUCCUAAGUCAAUAUACUCAUAUAUAAAUGACCUAGUCAUCGCCAAUUGCUUAAUAGAUGCUAGAAUUGUUUGUGCAUGCUUUGCCACAUAUUUCAUUUGUCAUUUUAUUGUGUGAGCAUGUUGGUUGCAUAAUUUACUCAUUCGAGGAUAUCCACUUGUUGUUUUGAUUGAUUGGUUUCCUUUUCUUUUGGCCAAGUGGAUGGACAAGAAUGCCUAAGAAUCUUCUCUAGCUAUCUAUGAUUUUCUCGUCUCAAACUCUAUUCAUGCCGCAUCACAAAGUUUGAUCAAGUCAGAUUCAAACCACUCUGUGUGAGGAGCACUCGGAGUCCCCGAUUCAUCAUAGACUUAAACUUCCAAAACUUCUUUGUGCGUUUCGGUCUGACCGAUUCAUCCAUUUCGGUCAUACCGAGAUCACUAAGUCGAUCUAGGCUUUCAAUCUCGGUGCAACCGAUUUGAACUUUUCGGUCACACCGAGUUGCAGCAACUGCUUGCAGUUAUGCAUCUCGGUGCCACCGAGUUUUCCACUCGGUCACACCGACAGGGUCGGGCUAUAUAUACCCAUGGGCAAAAUUUUGGAAAUUUUCUCCGAACUCUUUCGCCCGCGCUUAGCCCGCUCUGCCUCCAGGGUCUCCAGAUCGUCCUCCUCAUCGCCAGUUGCCUCCUGCUGCUGGUCUCCGCCGCUGCCAAUGGGAAUCAUCCCUGACGUUGCCGCCGUAGCGAGUUCAUCACCGAACUAGGGUAUGAACUUGAUCAUUGUGCUAUCCUUAUCUGAUUCCUAGCACAUUGUGUUCGCCAUGAAUCUUGCCAUGAUUGAAACUACCUUAUCCAGUCAAAACACUCUGUAGAUUAGAGAUGAUUUGAAAAUUUAGGGUUAGGUUUCCACCGAAACCAUCUCAGACCAACCGAGUUGUGGAACUCGGUACCACCGAUUCGGCUCAGGCCAUUGCACAUGUGAUUCUCGGUCUAACCACAUCUGAGUCUCGGUGCUCGCAAACGAGUGGGAAGAAGGCUAUAAGUGCAACUAUCCCUAGGUGGUUUUGGUAAUUCAUAACAACAUAUAGCUCAUUGAGCUAAUACUAUUCCAAGAUUAAUAUUUCAGGAAAAGCUCAAUGAAUGGCAUGGCAUGGAUGAGGAAAGUGGACCCCUCAAAAUACAAAGGACAAAAAGAUUGGCUCAAGCUCAAAGCUCAAGACUCUACAUUUUAUAUUUCAGUGAUCCAAGAUCACAUUGAGUCUAUAGGAAAAGCCAAUACUAUCAAGGAGGGAUGAGGUGUUGCUUGAUGAGGUUCUUGCUUCUUAGUGCUUAGUGAUAUGCUCCAAAACCCUCAACUACCUUCCCACAUCCACAUAUGACCUAAACCAAAAGUCAAACUCGGCCCCACCGAUUCUUUCUAUCUGGCGCCACCGAGUUCAGAUGUCAUAGCCACUGCCACAAACCCUAGGAAAAUCGGUCUCACCGAUAGGGAUCUCGAUCACACCGAGAUGGGGUUGUAAUCUCUAUGUUUCCCUUCGUAACGUUUCGGUCCUACCGAGAUGAGCGAUCGGUCCCAUCGAGAUUGCAAUGUAAACUCUUUGUUUUCCUUUUGUAACAUUUCGGUCCCACCGAAAUGAGCGAUCGGUCCCACCGAGUUUACCUGACCAACUCUUUGGUUAGCUUAUUACCAAAACCGGUCCCACCGAGUUUGUGUAAUCGGUCACACCGAGAUUACGUUGUGCCCUAACGCUAACCAUAUCGGUCUACCGAGUUGCAUCUCAGUCCCACCGAAAAUCCUAACGGUCACUAGGUUUGCUAAAUCGUCCGACCGAGUUUCUCAAUUCGGUCUCACCGACAUUGGUAAAUUGUGUGUAACGGUUAGUUUUUGUGUGGAGGCUAUAUAUACCCCUCCACCCACUCUUCAUUCAUGGAGAGAGCCAUCAGAACAUACAUGCACUUCCAAUACACAUUUUCUGAGAGAGAACCACCUACUCAUGUGUUGAGGCCAAGAUAUUCCAUUCCCACCAUAUGAAUCUUGAUCUCUAGCCUUCCCCAAGUUGCUUUCCACUCAAAUCUUCUUUCCACCAAAUCCAUAUCCUGUGAGAGAGAGUUGAGUCUUGGGGAGACUAUCAUUUGAAGCACAAGAGCAAGGAGUUCAUCAUCAACACACCAUUUGUUACUUCUUGGAGAGUGGUGUCUCCUAGAUUGGCUAGGUGACACUUGGGAGCCUCCGACAAAGAUUGUGGAGUUGAACCAAGGAGUUUGUAAGGGCAAGGAGAUCGCCUACUUCGUGAAGAUCUACCGCUAGUGAGGCAAGUCCUUCGUGGGCGAUGGCCAUGAUGGGAUAGACAAGGUUGCUUCUUCGUGGACCCUUCGUGGGUGGAACCCUCCGUGGACUCGCGCAACCGUUACCCUUCAUGGGUUGAAGUCUCCAUCAACGUGGAUGUACGAUAGCACCACCUAUCGGAACCACGGCAAAAACAUCUGUGUCUCAAAUUGCGUUUGAAUUCUCCAAACCCUUCCCUUUACAUUCUUGCAAGCUGCAUGCUUUACUUUCCGCUGCUCAUAGACUCUUUGCAUGCUUGCUUGAAUUGUGUAAAGAUUGCUUGACUUGUGCUAAGAUAGCUAACAUCUGCGAAAGACUAAAAUUGGGAAAAUGAUAGAUUUUUAUUUGGUCAAGUAGUCUAAUCACCCCCCCUCUAGACAUACUUUCGAUCCUACAAAGGCUCCAGUGGUAAAGAAUUGAGAGACGUCGUUGCUCUCGUAGGAUUUGUUAUUGAGGCGGCCCAAGAUCAUGGGCGUCCCGUGGAAGGCCAUGUAGUCGCGAAAAAAGGCAGGGCCAGAGAUGAUCUCUAGCAAGGUGGUGCCGAAGAUGAAGGUGUGGACGAGGAUCGUCGGGCCAUCCGACAGGAUGCAGGACAAAAUCUCACAGAUAACGUUGUCGAUCAGCGAGUGGAGGCUGAGUUGCAGUGGAGGUGGAUUCAUUCUUGGUGGUUGGGGGAAAGUCGCCCUAUCACUCUAUAAGCAUGAGCGACGGCGCAGCGGAGGCUGAAAGUAGUGCAGCACCACAGCAACAUGGGGGAGUCAUUCGCCAGCCGUUGAGCCAAGAGUGGCGCCGCUGCCACUACGUGUCGUCGAACAAAUAGACUGUGAGUGUGGACUUCACAUAAAAAUGUACAUUCUGUAAAGGUAGACAUGUGUAGAAACACACACACAAAGAUACCGGUGAAGAAACACAAAAAACCAACAAACAAAAAAUGAAGAGAACCAGAAAAAAUCACGAAGAAGCGAAGAUAACCAUGAAUACCAUGGAAACCUGGUGAACAAGUGAACUAAAACAGAAAGAUGAAAAUCGGAAAACAAACAAAGUAAAAUUGAAAAAAAAGAAAACGUGAAAAAUUGUAAUCCUGUAAAUUAACGAGUGAAAGUUCUUGCUCGUCCACACUGUACAUCACUAUUUUCAUGCUCUAGUAGCCACACUUGAUGGCUAAGAGAAUUUUCUUUUUCCUGCAACCGCGGUGUGCCCCGUCUACUCAAUGGCACACGGAUGCAAAAUGGUGUCAAACUGAUAAGUAACAAUGGCAUUCGGGUUCUCAACCAAGAUCAUUUUGCUCCACCCGGUAGUCUCGGAUGAGUAUACGGAGGUGAACACGGUCUUUUUCUACCACGUUGGAGCGGACGAAAGAUAAGAGGAAGGGAUCAUCAUGGUAGCCCAGGUAGUCUCAACAAUCCUUGGCACAGAGGACCACAACCAUCCUGGUUAUUACCUCUCCACCACAAAGUAUCUUAAAUAGCUAGGAGUCAGUGGAAAUCACCCACCAAUUUUUGUUGAUGGGGUCCCAAACGAUGAAAUCUGCAUCCUUCUCCCGAGGUGUGUAGAAGAGGACGCGGCCAUGGCGGGAGUCGACCGCAUCCUAGUCGUCGGGCUCGCAAAUGAGUGGGCAGAAAGCUCCGCUGGGAACAAAUUGAGCAACGUCGUGGCUCUCGUAGGAAUUGAUGUGGAGGUAUCCCAAGAUUGGGGGCAUCCCGUGGAAGGCCCGGUAGUCACGAAAAAAAGCGGGGUAAGAGAUGAUCUCAAGCAAGGUGGCAGAUAACGGAGGCAUGGAUGGGGCUCAUCGGGUCAUCCGAUGGGAUGCGGAACAAAAUAUCGUGGAUAGCAUCGUCGAUCAGCGAGUGGAGGCUGAGUUGCGGUGGAGGCGGAUUCAUGGCGGUUUGUUGGGGCCGAGUUGCCCUAUCGUUCUAUCAGCAUUAGCGGCAAAGGGGCGGAGGUUGCAAGUAGUGUGGUAUCGCGACAGCAUGGACUAGCGGUGCACCACCCGUUGAGCCAAAAGGGGCGCCACGCCGCUGCGUGUCAUCGAACGAACAGGCUACCAGUGGGGACUACACUUGAAAAAUGUACAUUGUGUAAAAGUAGACAUAUGUGGGAAACACACACAAAAAAACUGAUGAAGAAACACCAAAACACAACAAAGAAAAAACAAAGAAAACCAUAAAAAUCAGUGAAGAAGAAAAGAAAACUAUGAAAACCAUAGAAAAACGGUGAAGAAACGAACUAAAACAGAAAGAUGGAAAAUAGUAAUGAAAUAAAGUAAAACAGGAAAUCCCAAAGAAAACGAAAAAUACCUUAGCCCUACCAAUUAAUAAGUGAAAUUUCUUGCUCGCCCACAUUGGACAUCACUAUUUUCAUGCUGUAGUAGCCCCACUUUAUGGGGAUAUACACUUUCUUUCCCCCAACCGUAGUGUGCCCCGUCUCCAAUGGCAUACAAAUGCAAGAUGGUGUCAAACGGAUACGUAACGAUGCCACUCUGGUUCUCAACCGAGAUCAUUUCGCUCCACUCGGUUGUCUUGGAUGAGUAAAUGGAGGCAAACAAGGUCUUCUCUGCCACGUUGGAACCCAUGAAAGCCAUGAGGAUGGGACUGCCAUGGUAGCCCAGGAGUCGCAAUUGUCCUUGGCGCAGAGGUCUAUGACCAUCCAAGUUAUCUCCUCUCCUGCAGAAAGUAUCUUCAAUAGCUUGGAGUAGGUGGAACUCACCAUCUAGUUGCCAUGAUGGGGUCCCAAACGAUGAAAUCUAGUGGGAAAGAAUUAAGCGACAUCGUUGCUUUCAUAGGAUUUGUUGUGGAGUUAGCCCAAGACCGUGGGCGUCCCAUGGAAGGCCUGAUAGUCGUGAAAAAAGGCGCGGUCAAAGAUAAUCUCGAGCAAGGUGGUGUAGACGGCGAAGGCAUGGACAAGGCUUGUCGGACUAUCCCAUGGGAUGCGGAACAAAAUCUCGUGGAUAACAUCGUCGAUCAACGAGUGGAGGCCGAGUUGAAGUGGAGGCAGAUCCAUUGUGGGUGGUUGGAGGCGAGUCCUCCUAUCGCUCUACCAUAAUUAGAGGCGGAGGAGGCUGGAAGCAGUGCGGCAUCGCGGCAACACGGGGGAGUUGUGCGUCGGCUGUUGAGCCAAAAGGGGCGCCGACGCCGUUACAUGUCGUCGAACAAACAGGAUGCGAGUGUGGACUUCACAUAAAGAUGUACAUUGUGUAGAAGUAGACAUGUGUAGAAAAACACACAAAGAUAUGUCAAAGAAAAGGCAAAAAAUUGUAAUCCUACAAAUUAACGGGUGAAAGUUCUUGCUCACCCACAUUGUACAUCACUAUUUUCAUGCUCCAGUAGCCACACUUGACGGGAAAGAGACAUUCUUUCCUGCAACCGCAGUGUGCCCUGAUACGUCUCCGACGAUCUAUACUUUUUGGUUGUUCCAUGCUGUUAUAUUAUCCAUCUUGGAUGUUUUAUAAUCGUUUUAUACUAUUUUUUGGUACUAACCUAUUGAUAUAGUGCCAACUGCCGGUUGUUGUUUUCUGCAUGUUUUUUACAUCGCAGGAAAUCAAUUCCAAACAGAGUCCAAAUGCAACGAAACUUUACGGAGAUUUUUUAUGGACGAGAAGACACCUAAUGGGCCAAGGCAGCGCCUGGGGGUGCUUCAAGGGGAGCACAACCCACCACGGCGCGCCAGGAGGCCCAGGCGCGCCCUGGUGGGUUGUGCCCACCUCGGGUGCCCCCCGGACCGCCUCUUUGCUCUAUAAAUACCCAAAUAUUCCAGAAACCCUAGAGGAGUCGAUAAAAAUCAAUUCCAGUUGCCGCAGAGUCCAGAACCAUCAUAUCCAAUCUAGACACCAUCACGGAGGGGUUCACCACUUCCAUUGGUGCCUCUCCGAUGAUGCAUGAGUAGUUCUUUAUAGACCUUCGGGUCCGUAGUUAGAUGCAAAGGCCGGGGGUAUAUCCCCUUUUUCUAAAAAAAAAACAAUUGCUCAGAGAAGACAUAAGAUACGUUUAACCAGUUUAAAUUGUUGUGACAACUUUAAGUCUUGUUGGAUAGAUUGGCAUUUAAUCAGAAGACCAAAUAUCCACCUUAUUCUCCUAAGAUCACUUAGACCUUGCCCGAUCCCUUGAUUACACAUAUCUUCUAGGUUAUCACUUUUUUCCCAUGUCAUUUCAUUAUUUUUUUUGAAAUAUUGUAAACACAUAUAUUCCAAAAGAAAAAAAAUAACUAUCUCUGUAAAUCAUGAGUUUGCAAACAAGUUAACUUAAUUCAAACAAUGUUGAUAACAUUAAAAAAACUGUUUCUGACAUUUUAAAAAUGUUCAUGUCAUUAAAAAAUGUAUUUGACAUUUUUACAAAAUGUUUACACAAUGUAAAAGAAUUGCGUAAUUUAUAAAAAAACUACCAUUCAAAAACAUCAAACUUACAUUUUUAAAUGUUCAGGCGUUUCGUAAAUAUGACCAUGACAAUUUUAAGAUAUGUUUAUACAAUCUACAAAAAUGAUUGCUUAGUUUAAAUAAAAAAUCAAUGCAUAUUUUGAAAAGUGUGUAUAACAUUUUGGAAAAAUGUGCAAAAAUCAUGUGUUUGAAAAGGUGUUAAUUGUGUAUUCAUAAAAUGUAUAAAAAAUCAUUUACAUGUAUACCAACAAUGUACAAUGUGUUCAAAAAAUAAAUAAUAUUUAAAAAAUCAUGUAUUUUCAAAAUGUUAAACGUGUAUAAAAAAGUUCUUGAUGUAUAUGAAAAAAAUACGGUGUACAGGAAAAUUCAGAUAUAAUUGAUAAAAGGGAAAGAAAAGAAUAAGAAAAAGGAGGAAAAGAUAUUCACAAAAUAUGUAUUCAAAAAAAUGUACAUCAUGUAUUUGAAAAAUGUUUAUCAUAUAUUUAAAAAAGUUCCAAACAUGUAUUUAAAAAAUCAACAUAUUUUCAAUAUUAAAAACAUGAAUUCUUAAAAAUGUACAUUGUGUCUCUGAAAAAUGGUCGACGUGUAUCAAUAAAAUGUACUACUUCUAAACUAGAAGUGUGCAUUGUGCUAAAGUAGACAUGUGUAGAAAACAAACAGAGAAAAAACGGUGAGGAAAUGCCAAAGAUCAAAGAAACCCAAUUUAAGAAAGAAAGAAAAAACGAAGAAAACAGGCAAAAACCGGCGAAGAAGCAAAGAAAACCAUGAAAACCGGCGAAGAAAUGAACUAAAACAUAAAGACGAAAAAGCAGUAAAGAAACGAAGUAAAAUAGGGAAAAUCAAAGUAAACACGAAAUCAGUAGUCCGGCAAAUUAACAAGUGAAAGUUCUUGUUCGCUCACAUUGUACAUCACUAUUUAUAAGCUCCAGUAGCCCCACCUGAUGAGGAAAUGGACUUUUUUCCCCACAACCGCAGUGUGGCCCGUCUCAUGAUGGCAUAUAGAUGCAAGAUGGUGCCAAACGGGUACGUAACGACGACAUUCGGGUUCUCAACCGAGAUCAUUUUGCUCCACUCAGUAGUCUCAGAUGAGUAAACAAAGGUGAACAAUGGUCUUUUCCUACCACUUUGGAGCCCACGAAAGAUAAGAGGAAGGGACCGUCAUGUUAGCCUAGGUGGUCGCAACAGUCCUUGGCACAGAGGACCGCGACCAUCCAGGUUAUGUCCUAUCCAUCACAAAGUAUCUUAAAUAGCUUGGAGUUGUUGGAAAUCACUCGCUGGUUGUCGUUGCUGGGGUCCCAAACAAUGAAAUAUGUAUCCUUCUCCCGGGGUGUGUAGAAGAGGGCACGACCAUGGCGGGAGUUGACCGCAUCCUAGUCUUCGUGCUCGCAAUUGAGUGGGCAGAAAGCUUCGGUGGGAACAAAUUCAGCAACGUCGUGGCUCUCGUAGGAUUUGUUGUGGAGGUAGCCCAAGACCGGGGCCGUCCCGUGGAAGGCCUGGUAGCCACAAAAAAAAGCGGGGUAAGAGAUGAUCUCAAGCAAGGUGGCACGGCGGAGGCGUGGACGGAGCUCGUCGGGUCAUCUGACAGGAUGCGGAACAAAAUACGGCGGAUAGCGUCGUUGAUCAGCGAGUGGAGGCUGAGUUGCGGUGGAGGUGGAUUCAUGGCGGGUGGUUGGGGCGAGUUUCCCUAUCGCUCUAUCAGCAUUAGUGGCAAAGGGGCGGAGGUUGGAAGCAGUGUGGCGUCGCGGCGGCAUGGAGUAGCGGUGCACCACCCGUUGAGCCGAAAGGGGCGCCACACCGCUGCAUGCCGUCGAACGAACAGGCUACCAGUGGGGACUACACUUGAAAAUGUACAUUGUGUAAAAGUAGACAUAUGUGGGAAACACACACAAAAAGCUGAUGAAGAAACGCCAAAACACAACAAAGAAAAACCAAAGAAAGCCAUAAAAAAUCAGUGAAGAAGCAAAGAAAACCAUGAAAACCACAGAAAAUAGGUGAAGAAAUGAACUAAAACAGAAAGAUGGAAAAUAGUAAUGAAACAAAGUAAAACAGGAAAACCCGAAGAAAAC
rnacentral:lncRNA from 1 species